GACGAACGCUGGCGGCGUGCUUAACACAUGCAAGUCGAGCGAGGCCCUCCUUCGGGAGGUGUCCUAGCGGCGAACGGGUGAGUAACACGUGGGCAACCUGCCCCCGGCUCUGGGAUAACUCCAAGAAAUUGGGGCUAAUACCGGAUAUGACCGCUGACCGCAUGGUCUGGUGGUGGAAAGAUUUAUCGGCUGGGGAUGGGCCCGCGGCCUAUCAGCUUGUUGGUGGGGUAGUGGCCUACCAAGGCGACGACGGGUAGCCGGCCUGAGAGGGUGACCGGCCACACUGGGACUGAGACACGGCCCAGACUCCUACGGGAGGCAGCAGUGGGGAAUAUUGCGCAAUGGGCGGAAGCCUGACGCAGCGACGCCGCGUGGGGGAUGACGGCCUUCGGGUUGUAAACCUCUUUCAGCAGGGACGAAGCGCAAGUGACGGUACCUGCAGAAGAAGCACCGGCCAACUACGUGCCAGCCGCCGCGGUAACAC
rnacentral:rRNA from 1 species